rnacentral:rRNA from 1 species
CUCCUACGGGGGGCAGCAGUGAGGAAUAUUGGUCAAUGGUCGGGAGACUGAACCAGCCAAGCCGCGUGAGGGAUGAAGGUACAGAGUAUCGUAGACCUCUUUUGUCAGGGAACAAAGGCGGGGACGCGUCCCCGGAUGAGUGUACCUGAAGAAAAAGCAUCGGCUAACUCCGUGCCAGCAGCCGCGGUAAUACGGAGGAUGCGAGCGUUAUCCGGAUUUAUUGGGUUUAAAGGGUGCGCAGGCGGUCUGUUAAGUCAGCGGUCAAAGCCCGGGGCUCAACCCCGUCGUGCCGUUGAAACUGACGC